rnacentral:SRP_RNA from 1 species
GCUGGGCAUGGUGGGACCUGUAGUAGUAGGAGGCUGAGGUGGGAGGAUCGCUUGAGCCCAGGAGUUUUGGGCUGUAGUGCACUAUGUCAGUUGGGUGCCCACACUAAGUUCGGCAUCAAUACGGUGACCUUCCAGGAGCAGGGGACCACCAGCUUGCCUAAGGAGAGGUGAACCGGCCCAGGUCAGAAAUGGAGCAGGUCAAAACUCCCUUGCUGAUCAGUAGUGGGAUCGCGCCUGUGAAUAGUCACUGCACUCCGUGUGGGCAACAUAGCGAGACCCCGUCUCUA